GACCCCAGUGCGCCCCCUGUCGCUGGUGUAGGAUGCACUCCCUGGCACCCGCCCUCACCUGCCCUGAAACCGCUGGAACCAACCUCUCGGCCGCUUGCCCUACUCUACCCUCAGUGAUACGUACCCCUAUCCGGUGUACCUGAGCGUGGAGCCGGGCCGAGCCGGGUCGGGGUCGGGUCUGGCCGGGAGACAGCCGGCGCAGGCAGCGAACUGAGCUCGGGGCGCUCGGGCGGCGGCUGCUCCGGACUCUGGCCAAGGCAGCAACUCAGUAACCGAACAAAAGGCAAAGGGACCUGACAGCCAAGCCACACCUCUCGCCCCCUUGAAGCUCCGCCCCCUAGGGAGACUCCCACCCUCUGAGGUUAUCUCACUGGCUGCCCAGCCUGACUAUCCUAUUGAGGGGCGGAGCCUCACGCCGGGACCUCUACCACGGCCGCCUCUGUUUAUGCGCUCACCAUUGGCCCCAGGGACUGCCAGUCGACUCUGGGGUGGACGCCAACUUGAGGUCUCAUCCUCACUCUGCAUCUAUUGGCAAAUAGAAAGUUUCUUCCUUAUGAUUGGACAGAGGGCUGUCAGUAAGACUAAGGCAAAAGCCAAUGGAACAGGUGGGGCGUUACUUGCCCCACCCUAGCCCUGAGCAGGGGAUUUGAUCUCCUGGAGGGAAGGGGGCACACAGGAGUGGAACUGGACAUUGCUGUGACCCUGUGACCAUGGUCUCCUUUGCACCUUGAACUUUAAGGAGAGGGCACAAGGGCAUCUAACCCAAUCUCCAGCUUCCCAGCCUUUAAAGAAAGCCCAAGCUGGCCUUGAAGUUGCAACGUAGUUGAGCGUGAUCUCGAACUUUUGAUCCUCCAUCUCCGGAGUGCUGGCUUUACAGUGUCAUACCUGGUUUACGUAGUACCGAGAAUGGAACUCAAGAGUUCUAUGCAAGAUGGGCAUCGCCCCCCCCCCCCAACAAGCUGGAUGAAUUUCUUUUUAAAGGAAAGAUGGAGACGAUGACCCCAAAUGGAAAACGUCAAGCUCCCUUGGCCUCUGCUUUUCUUACGACCUCAGAGAGUUCUUCCGGGUAGCCAAGGGGUCAAGCAUAUGUAUGUGGGAGGAAGGCAAGCAAAUAAGCACAACCUCACCUCAGUUUCCCCACCUGAGUCAUGGGCAGAAUAGGUGUUUCUAUACCAAGGGAUGUUUCAGAGGACAAGAGAGAUGCUAUCCAGGAGCCACUGGCGCCAGCUGUGACCCAGGGAGGUAGUGAUUAUGAGGUGAUCGGACCAUAGGUUGGGCCUGGGAUUUUGGUUUCGGCUGGGGCCGCUUGCUAUGGCUCCCAGCAUACUCCCAUGAAUCCCCAGUUAUCUUGGAACCUGAUCGUAAAAGGAAGCAGCCAGAGCCAUGUGCUAGUCCAGAUCAGACUUAGCUCUGGACCUGGAGACCAACCCAAACUCUUGGGGCCUCAGUUUCCCUAUUCAUGAAAUCAGGGCCAUUUUCCAGGGCUGACUUGGAGAGACUAUAAAAGAAGGUGUGGAGGGAGACCAGAGUUAGGAGACAAGGAUGAUGGCCCUGGGCCCUGUGGUCACCAGGUCUUUGCUAGGUAAAGUUAUUAGCUCCAGAGCCAGCCUGACAGGAUCAUUUGACAUAAAGAAAGUCCCCUUCUUUGUUCCAGAACUCUUGGAGACAGACAACAUGAGAUGAGACAUUAAGGGUUCGUCCCUUUUUUUUUUUUUAAUUUUUAGAUUUAAAAGUUGUAUUAAAGUCAUGUUUUGUCUGCAAGUAUGUUUGAGUACCACAUGUGGGCAUUACCUGCAAAUGACAGAGUGGGGAGUCACAGACAAUUGUACUGAGCUGGUACGUGGGUGCUGGGAAUCAAACCCGGGUCCUCUGGAAGAACCGCCCGUGCUCUUAACUAUUGAACCA
ensembl:lncRNA